rnacentral:rRNA from 1 species
GACAGAGGGGGCAAGCGUUGCUCGGAAUUACUGGGCGUAAAGGGCGCGUAGGCGGGAUGGCAAGUCGGUCGUGAAAUACCUCGGCUCAACUGAGGAGCGUCGAUCGAAACUGCCGUUCUUGAGGGUUGCAGAGGAGACUGGAAUUCCCGGUGUAGCGGUGAAAUGUGUAGAGAUCGGGAGGAACACCGGUGGCGAAGGCGGGUCUCUGGGCAAUUCCUGACGCUGAGACGCGAAAGCGUGGGGAGCAAACAGG